rnacentral:lncRNA from 1 species
UAUUGCCUGCCCUCAGGCACCUUUGGAUCUUCAGUCUUUAUAUGACAUGGGCCUCCUGGAACUGAAAGAUGGCCUCCCUUAAUUUACCCCAGCUUGGUCUCUAGUGCCAUGAGAUAGGAGAAUCUACAACAAGCAGCGCAAAUCCUAAGCACAAGCUGCCCAAGCACCUCCGCUGCCCAACUUUAAAGAAUUCAUGGACCACACACUAUUGCAAGUCCGCAUGAUAUAUGGCACCCUACACAACAUGAAGCGUUCCUUAUGGGAACUGAACGAUAAAAUUGAUGCCCUAACAUAAUUGAUCACCCAAACUAGGCACUCAAACAUACGAACUCGCAACAGAUGAACACAAGAGGAGUCUCUUUCUCUUUACUUUACUCCAAUUUUUUUCUUUUGCCAUUUUAUCUCCUGUUCUGGUUUCUGUUUAUUCAUUGCCUUCUCCUAACCUUGCAACACAUUGGGAACAAUGUGUAAUUUAAGUGUGGGGGAAGUAGC